rnacentral:rRNA from 1 species
UAAUACUUGGGGGGCAAGCGUUGUCCGGAUUUAUUGGGCGUAAAGGGUUCGUAGGCUGAUUUGAAAGUCAAAAUUGAAAUACAAUGGCUCAACCAUUGAACCGGUUUUGAUACUGCAAAUCUUGAAUAAUGUAGAGGCAAGUGGAAUUCCUGGUGUAGCGGUGAAAUGCGUAGAUAUCAGGAGGAACACCAACGGCGAAGGCAACUUGCUGGGCAUUUAUUGACGCUGAGGAACGAAAGCGUGGGUAGCAAACAGGAUUAGAGACCCUGGUAGUCCACGCUGUAAACGAUGAGUACUUGGUGGUGGGGGAUUCGACCCCUUCACUGUCGUAGUUAACGCGAUAAGUACUCCGCCUGGGGACUACGGCCGCAAGGCUG